CUACUACCUGCUAAUUGCUCUUGCUUACCCCUCUCUAGCUUACGUUUUAUGUUUUGAGACCCCUAAAGUUCCAUUCUAACAAUUAUGAAAAAGCUAUGAACUGUGAAGAGAGUUUCCUUUAUAUGUUCUUGCAUUUCUCUUUCAUCAGAACGGGGCUCGUCUUCUUUGUUCAUCGCCAAAAAAUUUUGAGAACAAGCAAGGACUUUGGCAAGAAGGGCGACGAUUUACCUUGUGCUUCUAGAACUUCAUGCUGGAGAUCUACACCAACAAUCCGAGUGGCUGGCCAACAUGUGAGAAGCAGCCCUGUACGGUGGAUCCUGGAACGAACACCAACAACUGUCCGCCUAACUGUACUUGCCAUGUUAACGUGACAACACCGACCCACAAGACGGGCUUUUGUAUUUGAUAGAUAG
rnacentral:lncRNA from 1 species